GCCCCCGUAGCUCAGGCGGAUAGAGCGGCGGUUUCCUAAACCGUAGGUCGCGCGUUCAAGUCGCGCCGGGGGUA
rnacentral:tRNA from 1 species